rnacentral:tRNA from 2 species
GGGCCUGUGGUGUAUAUGGCUAGCAUCUCGUUGUUGUCACACGAGGAAGCGGGUUCGAUUCCCGCCGGGUCCA